UAUAUUUGGGAAUAUCACCAGACUCAAAGCAGGAAUGCAUUCAUGCAUAUAGGUAACAGCAUAUUUAGUGCGAAGAUCUUUCAAGCAAAUGGACGCAUUUUAUAUUAAGUGGAUUUAAUUUUACUUAUUUAGAAAGAUAUGUUUUGGCAACUGAGUUCAUUGAAGCUGGACUCUAUUUGAAAGCCUUAAACCAAGUUCGCUUUAUAUUUUAACCGCACCUGUGUGCUGACACCUGGCCACUAUAAUGAUUGUCGAGAAGAUCGCCAAAAAUCACUCAUGACGAAAAGAUGAAACUAUUACUGAGAAUGAAGAGUGACUCCGUCAAGUUUUAAUCGCUUUUUAAUCCGUAACUGUGUACGGACCAACCAAUCAUUUUCUGAGCAGAUUUCCGGGGAGAUCCUCCAUACCCUUUUUGCGGAAGCAGCAAGCACAGGGAAGGACCCCGACUGAAGCGAAUUUAGCCUUCACUUGAGUGUGGCACACACAGGUCAGAGGACUUACACCGCUGUUUUCGAACUUUUCAAAUAGUAUCACUAUCGUUACGAGAGGAGUGCAGGGAAAGAUUUUGCAAAGCUCUUGUACAGUUGGUCAAUUGGAAAGCAGAGAGACGUAACCGAUCUGGAAAGUUUAAUGAAAUUCCCAAUCUAGACCGUAAUCCUUGUUUCAUUCAACUGUGACCCUUGCCAGCCCUGGUUACUAGCCUGGCUACAAGCUGCCUGGAUCACUUGCUGAAAUUGCUGCGGUUUUGUGAGGAAGCGGGCGCCAACACGGAAAAGGUUUACCAUCUGAUCCCAUCUUCUUCUGGGUGAUUCAGCAACAGGCAUCCCAUUGUAACAACCACAG